rnacentral:rRNA from 1 species
UACGUAGGGGGCUAGCGUUGUCCGGAAUCAUUGGGCGUAAAGCGCGUGUAGGCGGUCCGGUAAGUCCGCUGUGAAAGUCGGGGGCUCAACCCUCGAAUGCCGGUGGAUACUGUCGGGCUAGAGUGCGGAAGAGGCGAGUGGAAUUCCUGGUGUAGCGGUGAAAUGCGCAGAUAUCGGGAGGAACACCCGUAGCGAAGGCGGCACUCUGGGCCGGUACUGACGCUGAGGAGCGAAAGCGUGGGGAGCAAACAGG